UUGGAGGAACAAACUAAGGAAAGGGCAAGUCCUGCCUCCCCCACCCUAAAACACACAGUAUCAGAAUCCACUGGAAGCUGUGGCCCAUUCCCAAGGUGCUGGCAAUACCGAGGGAGAGUCAUAUCCACAAAAAUCUGAACGUCCGGUAUCUGAAGUUACACAAUCUGGUGCUUUGAAGCCAUCACUGGAAAUCUGGCUCUAACUAGACUGGUGGUGUCCAAAGAGAUGAUCUCACGGACCUAGAGAGACAAAUCUGAAAGCAGUAUGUUCUGAUCCAGAAGCAGCUGGAAAUGGCAGCAACCUGAUAUGGAGCAAUCAAGAACUGAAGGUUUAUUUUGAAGGAGAGGCCAUGACCAACUGUGAGACUGAGUGAUGGCAGCUGAGAAUAAGUGCAAAUACAAUCAGUAGUGACCUCUGGUAGAAAGUUACUGAGGACCUUUCUUCUUUCAUGUCUCUUUCUGUCGCCACAUUUGUACCGCAUCCAUAAAUUGCAAUACUAUCUAUGGAGGAGGGAAACAAGUUCUUCAACUUAGUUUUAUUCUUAAUAAUAGCUUCUGAGCUUCCAUGAUUUGAAAAUACAAUGAUAAAAUGGCUCUUUCAGCAAACAAUAUAUUUCAAAGCCCAGUUGUAUUUUGGACAGGUAAGAAUGCCUCAUCAUUAAAUGGUCUUUAAUAUGCAUCGCCUCUCCAGUCUGCCAUCUCUUUUUAUUAGUUGUUCUCUCUUUUCUAUAGUUGUAUAGCUAUGAGCAAAGCGAUUUCAUUGUUCCUUGUUCCUACCAAUGUUAUCAUUUCACUAAUAUACAAGGGUAGACCAUAGAUGCUGCUCAUUAAAUAUUGUUGAACAAUCUAUAAUUAUACUAUUUUAUAUUUGAAUAUCAUCUUUUAGGAGUUUGUAAAGCACUUUAACAUAACUUAUUUAAUUAAA